GAUGAACGUUGGCGGCGUGCCUAAUACAUGCAAGUCGAACGAAGACUGUAGUAAUACUGUCUUAGUGGCGAACGGGUGAGUAACGCGUGGGUGACCUGCCCCGAAGUGUGGGAUAACAGUUCGAAAGAACUGCUAAUACCGCAUAACAUCCAAGAGAUUAGAAGCUUUUGGAUUAAAGGAGUAAUUCGCUUCGGGAGGGGCCCGCGUCCCAUCAGCUAGUUGGUAAGGUAAUGGCUUACCAAGGCGAUGACGGGUAGGGGACCUGAGAGGGUGGCCCCCCACAAUGGAACUGAAACACGGUCCAUACACCUACGGGUGGCAGCAGUAGGGAAUAUUAGUAAUGGGCGAAAGCCUGAACUAGCAACGCCGCGUGUGCGAAGAAGGCCUUCGGGUUGUAAAGCACUUUUGAGAGGAUGAGGAAGGACGGUACUCUCAGAAUAAGUCUCGGCUAACUACGUG
rnacentral:rRNA from 1 species